rnacentral:rRNA from 1 species
CCUACGGGUGGCAGCAGUGGGGGAUAUUGCACAAUGGGGGGAACCCUGAUGCAGCAACGCCGCGUGGGGGAAGAAGCGCCUCGGCUUGUAAAGCCCUGUCAUCAGGGAAGAAAAUGACGGUACCUGACGAAGAAGCCCCGGCUAACUACGUGCCAGCAGCCGCGGUAAUACGUAGGGGGCAAGCGUUAUCCGGAUUUACUGGGUGUAAAGGGGGCGCAGGCGGGGUUGUAAGCCAGAUGUGAAAGCCCGGGGCCUAACCACGGGACUGCUCUUGAAACUGUGUGGCUGGAGUGCGGGAGGGGCAGGCGGAAUUCCUGGUGUAGCGGUGAAAUGCGUAGAUAUCAGGAGGAACA